GACUUGAAUCCAGAUCAUGUCCAUCAAACAGGUGCACAUCUUUUCCUUAUGAAUUCCUUGCUUUCAGAUCAAACUGAUGUGCGAAAAAAAAGAUUCUGGAACUUGCACAACACAAAGAAAGCAAAACAGUGUGGGUCACAACACCUUGCGCUGGGUGCAGUUCCAACAGAGAGAAUCCAAUACCUAGCUAAGCACAAAAGAGACUUCUCAGCAUGGGAGGACCACCUGAGGAAAGACGAUGAGGUGAUCUCCUCCAGGAAGACAUUACGUUCUUCCUCCAAGACAGCCCAGUACGAGCUCGUUGUCCGCCUGUCAACACCCAAGACCAGGUCCCGAAGCUCCCAAGAAAUGGGUCCUCCUCACACGUCGUGUUGUGAGUACAGCUGCCCCAUCUGGCACAUAGACCCCAGAGUGAGAACUGAUGAGACCACUCCACGGCUACUACAGCUAGCCAAUCCCAAAGCGAACCACCUCAACUUCAAAAGCAACAGGGAGAAAGUGGAAACAUACAUUUCCUAUGCUGCCAAAACAGCCCAGACCACUCCCAGGCUGGACCAGCUCUCACUGCCGAAGUUGAGGGAUUGUAAAAUGUUCUUUGAGCGAGGACAUCCAGAGGACUCCAUUUGGCCAGUGUCAAGGAGAGCCCGUCAGGCCACAGCAACUUCACGACUUCAAACUCUAUCAGCUCCCAAGGGACUUAAUAAGGACUACAUCCCUCUGAGAGACCUGCCACCUUUAUGA
rnacentral:lncRNA from 13 species